rfam:Brachypodium distachyon strain Bd21 chromosome 3, whole genome shotgun sequence.
AUGUUACUCCCUCCGACCCAUAUUAAUUGUCAAAAUAUUACAUGUAUCUAAACGCUUUUUAGGCAUAGAUACAUCCAUAUUUUGGCAAAUUUGAGACAAUCAAUAUGGAUCAGAGGGAGUAGUAU